UACAGAGGUCCCGAGCGUUGUUCGGAUUCAUUGGGCGUAAAGGGUGCGUAGGUGGCGCUGUAAGUGGGGUGUGAAAUCCCGGGGCUUAACUCCGGAACUGCAUUCCAUACUGCGGUGCUUGAGGACUGGAGAGGAGACUGGAAUUUACGGUGUAGCAGUGAAAUGCGUAGAGAUCGUAAGGAAGACCAGUGGCGAAGGCGGGUCUCUGGGCCGAUACUGACGCUGAGGAGCGAAAGCGUGGGGAGCGAACAGG
rnacentral:rRNA from 1 species